AUUGAACGCUGGCGGCAGGCCUAACACAUGCAAGUCGAACGAGUGGCGGACGGGUGAGUAAUGUCUGGGAAACUGCCUGAUGGAGGGGGAUAACUACUGGAAACGGUAGCUAAUACCGCAUACCAUCGGAUGUACCCAGAUGGGAUUAGCUAGUAGGUGGGGUAACGGCUCACCUAGGCGACGAUCCCUAGCUGGUCUGAGAGGAUGACCAGCCACACUGGAACUGAGACACGGUCCAGACUCCUACGGGAGGCAGCAGUGGGGAAUAUUGGACAAUGGGCGAAAGCCUGAGAGAGCCAUGCCGCGUGUAUGAAGAAGGCCUUCGGGUUGUAAAGUACUUUCAGCGGGGAGGCGUUACCCGCAGAAGAAGCACCGGCUAACUCCGUGCCAGCCGCCGCGGUAAUUC
rnacentral:rRNA from 1 species